AACACGACCUUACCGCAAACCGACACUGGUGCGCGAGAUGAGUAUUCUAAGGCGCUUGAGAGAACUCAGGAGAAGGAACUCGGCAAAUUGACACCGUAACUUCGGAAGAAGGUGUGCCUUUAGUAGGUGAAGUCCCUCGCGGAUGGAGCCCAAUGAGGUUGCAAAAAAUCGGUGGCUGCGACUGUUUAUUAAAAACACAGCACUCUGCAAACACGAAAGUGGACGUAUAGGGUGUGACGCCUGCCCGGUGCUGGAAGAUUAAAUGAUGGGGUGCAAGCUCUUGAUUGAAGACCCAGUAAACGGCGGCCGUAACAAUAACGGUCCUAAGGUAGCGAAAUUCCUUGUCGGGUAAGUUCCGACCUGCACGAAUGGCGUAGCGAUGGCACACUGUCUCCUCCUGAGACUCAGCGAAGUUGAAAUGUUUGUGAUGAUGCAAUCUCCCCGCGGAAAGACGGAAAGACCCCAUGAACCUUUACCGUAGCUUUGUAUUGGACUUUGAACAGAUCUGUGUAGGAUAGGUGGGAGGCUUUGAAGCAGGGUCGCUAGAUCUUGUGGAGCCAACGUUGAAAUACCACCCUGGUGUGUUUGAGGUUCUAACCUAGGCCCGUAAUCCGGGUUGGGGACAGUGCAUGGUAGGCAGUUUGACUGGGCGGUCUCCUCCCAAAGUGUAACGGAGGAGUUCGAAGGUACGCUAGUUACGGUCGGACAUCGUGACGAUAGUGCAAUGGCAUAAGCGUGCUUAACUGCGAGACUGACAAGUCGAGCAGAUGCGAAAGCAGGACAUAGUGAUCCGGUGGUUCUGUAUGGAAGGGCCAUCGCUCAACGGAUAAAAGGUACUCUGGGGAUAACAGGCUGAUACCGCCCAAGAGUUCAUAUCGACGGCGGUGUUUGGCACCUCGAUGUCGGCUCAUCUCAUCCUGGGGCUGUAGCCGGUCCCAAGGGUAUGGCUGUUCGCCAUUUAAAGAGGUACGUGAGCUGGGUUUAAAACGUCGUGAGACAGUUUGGUCCCUAUCUUCCGUGGGCGCUGCAGAUUUGAGGGAGCCUGCUCCUAGUACGAGAGGACCGGAGUGGACGCACCUCUGGUGUAUCGGUUGUCACGCCAGUGGCAUUGCCGAGUAGCUAUGUGCGGAAGAGAUAACCGCUGAAAGCAUCUAAGCGGGAAACUCGUUACAAGAUGAGAUCUGCCGGGGCCUUGAGCCCCCUGAAGAGUCGUUCAAGACCAGGACGUUGAUAGGUCGGGUGUGGAAGCGCAGUAAUGCGUUAAGCUAACCGAUACUAAUUGCUCGUGCGGCUUGACC
rnacentral:rRNA from 1 species